rnacentral:lncRNA from 1 species
AUAUUGUUAAUAUGUUCACAUUCAAAACUUUUAAGGUAGAUAUUCUAUAGUAAAUAAAUUCUGGGAAUCUUUUUGAAAUAGUUUUUAGAACAUGAACCUGUGUUGCUUAGAGUAUUAUAUGAAAGAUUGCUGGGCUGGGGGUUUAGGUCAGUGGUAGAGCACUUUCCUAGCAUGCUUGAGGCCCUGGGUUUCACCCCCAAUACUGCAAAAGGGAAAGAAAAGAAAGGAAAGAAAAAUUGCUGUUAUUUUCCCUGGAGCAAUUUUCGGGAGUCAGAGGUUUGUUUUAGGAGAGUCUGAUGUUUCGUGGUUGGUGUGGGAUUUACCUGUUCCUCCAUGUAGGAGAGAAUUAACUUUAAAAUCUGGUGCAAAUACCAGACACCACACCAAGAGUUAGGAUUGAGUUUGUUGUUUCCCCAGAAGUUCCUUGUGAAUAGAUAAGGUCACUCUGU